UAUGGCCACAUCACAUUGAAACAUCAGUUCCCAUAUGAUCACUGAAGUUAAGCAAAGUUGAGCCUGGUCAGUACCCAGAUUGGUGACCGUUUGGGAAUAUCAGGUGCU